CUCCUGUUUCCUGUUUGCUGGGCUCCCCCUCCGUGCAAGAGCUGGACCCCCCACCCCCACCCUGGCGGAAGCCAGAUGGGAAGAGUGAGGCUGCCACGAGCUGAGUCAGGAGAGCUUAGGGGGAGAGCGGGAAAGGACUGCAGCCGGGGAGAGCAGGACGCGCCAUCUCCAUUGGCACCCUCUCCCGCCCCACUUCCAUCGCUAGAAAACUAAGGAUUCGGUGUUGGGACCACUCCUGCCCUGACCUGCCCUGUGACUCCGUCAUACUCUCCAAAGGCCAGACCCUCCUAGACCAGCUGGAACCACCAUCAAGAUGUCCCCAGCCAUGUCAGACUCUGGGGCCCCAGGCGGAGGGCAACCAGAUGUCUUCAGCUCCAAGUCUGGCCUCUCCUCCCAGCAAGCAGCCACCUCUGAUGGCCAACAGGUGCUGCUGUGUGCCCAGAUCAAGAAUCCACCUCUGCGGAAUUCAAAACCGCUGAGGGUUCUGGGACAGCAGGGAGGAGAGAGGUGGAGACGCAACAUGGGUUUUCUGUGUUCAGACUGCAGAGACCUUGGAAAGGAUCAACCAUAUACAAUGUCCAUUUCCUGCCCUCUAACCUGGCAGGGGAGCAAGGCCCAGCCAAGGAGUUACAGAAACUGAGGCUUGGCCAGGCGUGGUGGCUCACACCUGCAAUCUCAGCACUGGGAGGCCAAGGUGGGCAGAUCGCUUGAGCCCAGGAGUUUGAGACCAGCCCGAGGAACAUGGCGAAACCCCAUCUCUACAAAAAAUACAGAAAUUAGCCAAGUGUGGUGGCACGUGUCUGUAGUUUCAGCUACUCAGGAGGCUUAGGUGGGAGGAUCACCUGAGCCUGGGAGGUAGAGGUUGCAAUGAGCAGAGAUUGCUCUCCAGCCAGGGAGACAGAGUGAGACCCUGUCCCAAAAUAAAUAAAUAAAUAAGAAUAAAAUUUAAAAAAGAAACUGAGGCUCAAAGAGAACAAGUGACUAGUUCAAGGACUCAUUUUCACUAAGCUGGGACCAGAUCCCAGGGUUCUAACCGCUUACCAGAUCCUUUUCCAUUACCCUCUUGUUUAACCACAUCUUGAGUACCUGCUGUGGGCCAGGAGCUGAGAUACUUUGGAGAGUCUUUCAGGAAUAUUGUCCCAGCUCCUGAAACCUUUAGGGAUCCCCAAGUUCUAGACUCUGGCCAAAGCCGGCUGCCUUCACCCCCACCAAGGGAGACCCCCACAAACCAAGGGAGCCCUGCUCUCAGGUGCACAGGGCCUCUUCUCUCUGGGAGGUGACAGUUUUUUGAGGGUGGGGCCAGACACCUCCCAG
rnacentral:lncRNA from 1 species